AGGACGAACGCUGGCGGCGUGCUUAACACAUGCAAGUCGAGCGGAAAGGCCAUUUCGGUGGUACUCGAGCGGCGAACGGGUGAGUAACACGUGAGUAAUCUGCCCUUGGCUUUGGGAUAGCCACCGGAAACGGUGAUUAAUACCGGAUAUGACCACGUACUGCAUGGUGUGUGGUGGAAAGUUUUUCGGCCAGGGAUGUGCUCGCGGCCUAUCAGCUUGAUGGUGGGGUAAUGGCUCACCAUGGCUUCGACGGGUA
rnacentral:rRNA from 1 species